UUAAAAGUCAUUAAAGCCUACCGUAUAACUUAUUAUUAAUCAAUACAAGUCAUUAACGGAUAACAUAAUUCAGAGAGAGAGAGAGAUGUGGGGGUGGGAACCAAUGCAUCAUAUUUGAAUCUUGUCGUUAAAUAAAAUGUAUUUAGAAGGAGAGACUUUGUUAAAGGUGACCAAUACGAUUCAACAGUUCAGAUUAGUCACUGAUAACCAAUGAUUACUCUGCACCUAUAAAUGGUGAAUAAAAAGGGCAAGGAAAAUCAUAAACGAUAAUUAAUUAAUAGUCUAGAAUGGUGACACAAUUAUUUAUAGGAAUAACACCCCAAUGAGAUGAUAUCUUUUUAUAUUAAUUUAAAGCAUUGAUAAUCUUCAUGAUACAUAUAUGUUUACUAUUUUUCUUUUAAAUAUUUUAGUUUUCUUUGAUCAUUAGUUAAUUUUAGAUAUAAUUUGAUAAAUUUCGUUGAUUUUUAAUCAUGAACUUAAUGAUAUGUUUAUGCUUUUAUUUUUGUGAUGAACCACACAUUUUUCGUAGUUUGUUUUUAAUUGGUUUAAUGCAGUGUUGAGAUUGUUGACAAAUCAACAUAGCCUAUAUGAGGUAUUCUAAACACAUAUUUUUUUUUUAAAAAGAAGUUAUGUUGAGCUUAUCCUGUAUUCCGGUGGGACAACUCACAAUAUGAGCUAGUAGAUUUCACCACACAACAUUCCAUCAAAUUUUGCAGUGCGAUAUAAGGAACAACUUGCGGUGCAACAAAUUUCUGUUCUAGACAACAUUUAAGUAGUUUUACACUUUUGUUAGGGUUUUAAAAUCAAAUGAGUUAGAGAAAAAUAGCAUAAACACAUGAAAAAAUAUGAAAUGAGAAUUAAACAUUGGAAAAAGAGUUUAAUAUUUCUUUCGUUUCUCACCGUGCCUAAUAUCGUUAUCUCUACUAUUAUUAUUUCAAUUCCUAUGAUGAUCUAA
rnacentral:lncRNA from 1 species